AAAUUGAAGAGUUUGAUCAUGGCUCAGAUUGAACGCUGGCGGCAGGCCUAACACAUGCAAGUCGAGCGGUAGCACAGAGAGCUUGCUCUCGGGUGACGAGCGGCGGACGGGUGAGUAAUGUCUGGGAAACUGCCUGAUGGAGGGGGAUAACUACUGGAAACGGUAGCUAAUACCGCAUAACGUCGCAAGACCAAAGUGGGGGACCUUCGGGCCUCAUGCCAUCAGAUGUGCCCAGAUGGGAUUAGCUAGUAGGUGGGGUAAUGGCUCACCUAGGCGACGAUCCCUAGCUGGUCUGAGAGGAUGACCAGCCACACUGGAACUGAGACACGGUCCAGACUCCUACGGGAGGCAGCAGUGGGGAAUAUUGCACAAUGGGCGCAAGCCUGAUGCAGCCAUGCCGCGUGUAUGAAGAAGGCCUUCGGGUUGUAAAGUACUUUCAGCGAGGAGGAAGGCAUUAAGGUUAAUAACCUUGAUGAUUGACGUUACUCGCAGAAGAAGCACCGGCUAACUCCGUGCCAGCAGCCGCGGUAAUACGGAGGGUGCAAGCGUUAAUCGGAAUUACUGGGCGUAAAGCGCACGCAGGCGGUCUGUCAAGUCGGAUGUGAAAUCCCCGGGCUCAACCUGGGAACUGCAUUCGAAACUGGCAGGCUAGAGUCUUGUAGAGGGGGGUAGAAUUCCAGGUGUAGCGGUGAAAUGCGUAGAGAUCUGGAGGAAUACCGGUGGCGAAGGCGGCCCCCUGGACAAAGACUGACGCUCAGGUGCGAAAGCGUGGGGAGCAAACAGGAUUAGAUACCCUGGUAGUCCACGCCGUAAACGAUGUCGACUUGGAGGUUGUGCCCUUGAGGCGUGGCUUCCGGAGCUAACGCGUUAAGUCGACCGCCUGGGGAGUACGGCCGCAAGGUUAAAACUCAAAUGAAUUGACGGGGGCCCGCACAAGCGGUGGAGCAUGUGGUUUAAUUCGAUGCAACGCGAAGAACCUUACCUACUCUUGACAUCCAGAGAACUUAGCAGAGAUGCUUUGGUGCCUUCGGGAACUCUGAGACAGGUGCUGCAUGGCUGUCGUCAGCUCGUGUUGUGAAAUGUUGGGUUAAGUCCCGCAACGAGCGCAACCCUUAUCCUUUGUUGCCAGCGGUCCGGCCGGGAACUCAAAGGAGACUGCCAGUGAUAAACUGGAGGAAGGUGGGGAUGACGUCAAGUCAUCAUGGCCCUUACGAGUAGGGCUACACACGUGCUACAAUGGCAUAUACAAAGAGAAGCGACCUCGCGAGAGCAAGCGGACCUCAUAAAGUAUGUCGUAGUCCGGAUUGGAGUCUGCAACUCGACUCCAUGAAGUCGGAAUCGCUAGUAAUCGUAGAUCAGAAUGCUACGGUGAAUACGUUCCCGGGCCUUGUACACACCGCCCGUCACACCAUGGGAGUGGGUUGCAAAAGAAGUAGGUAGCUUAACCUUCGGGAGGGCGCUUACCACUUUGUGAUUCAUGACUGGGGUGAAGUCGUAACAAGGUAACCGUAGGGGAACCUGCGGUUGGAUCACCUCCUUACCUUAAAGAA
rnacentral:rRNA from 1 species